AGCGAACGCUGGCGGCAGGCUUAACACAUGCAAGUCGAGCGGGCACUUCGGUGUCAGCGGCAGACGGGUGAGUAACACGUGGGAACGUACCCUUUGGUUCGGAAUAACGCUGGGAAACUAGCGCUAAUACCGGAUACGCCCUUUUGGGGAAAGGCUUGCUGCCGAAGGAUCGGCCCGCGUCUGAUUAGCUAGUUGGUGGGGUAAUGGCCUACCAAGGCGACGAUCAGUAGCUGGUCUGAGAGGAUGAUCAGCCACACUGGGACUGAGACACGGCCCAGACUCCUACGGGAGGCAGCAGUGGGGAAUAUUGGACAGUGGGCGCAAGCCUGAUCCAGCCCUGCCGCGUGAGUGAUGAAGGCCUUAGGGUUGUAAAGCUCUUUUGUCCGGGACGAUAAUGACGGUACCGGAAGAAUAAGCCCCGGCUAACUUCGU
rnacentral:rRNA from 1 species